rnacentral:rRNA from 1 species
UACGAAGGGGGCUAGCGUUGUUCGGAAUCACUGGGCGUAAAGGGCGCGUAGGCGGCCUGCUAAGUCGGGGGUGAAAGCCUGUGGCUCAACCACAGAAUUGCCUUCGAUACUGUUAGGCCUGAGACCGGAAGAGGUAAGUGGAACUGCGAGUGUAGAGGUGAAAUUCGUAGAUAUUCGCAAGAACACCAGUGGCGAAGGCGGCUUACUGGUCCGGUUCUGACGCUGAGGCGCGAAAGCGUGGGGAGCAAACAGG